rnacentral:rRNA from 1 species
ACUCCUGACUGACCGAUAGUGAACCAGUACCGUGAGGGAAAGGCGAAAAGAACCCCGGCGAGGGGAGUGAAAAAGAACCUGAAACCGUGUACGUACAAGCAGUGGGAGCCCCACCACUAAGCCAGUGGUGAACUCCACAUACGCAUCCUUUGCUGAGGAUACGGUUAACGGAGCGAAAGCGACGUUCAACCGCAAAAAAAGAAGCAGAGGGGGCUUAGUGGUGGGGUGACUGCGUACCUUUUGUAUAAUGGGUCAGCGACUUAUAUUCUGUAGCAAGGUUAACCGAAUAGGGGAGCCGGAGGGAAACCGAGUCUUAAUUGGGCGUUAAGUUGCAGGGUAUAGACCCGAAACCCGGUGAUCUAGCCAUGGGCAGGUUGAAGGUUGGGUAACACUAACUGGAGGACCGAACCGACUAAUGUUGAAAAAUUAGCGGAUGACCUGUGGCUGGGGGUGAAAGGCCAAUCAAACCGGGAGAUAGCUGGUUCUCCCCGAAAGCUAUUUAGGUAGCGCCUCGUGAAUUCAUCUCCGGGGGUAGAGCACUGUUUCGGCUAGGGGGCCAUCCCGGCUUACCAACCCGAUGCAAACUGCGAAUACCGGAGAAUGUUAUCACGGGAGACACACGGCGGGUGCUAACGUCCGUCGUGAAGAGGGAAACAACCCAGACCGCCAGCUAAGGUCCCAAAGUCAUGGUUAAGUGGGAAACGAUGUGGGAAGGCCCAGACAGCCAGGAUGUUGGCUUAGAAGCAGCCAUCAUUUAAAGAAAGCGUAAUAGCUCACUGGUCGAGUCGGCCUGCGCGGAAGAUGUAACGGGGCUAAACCAUGCACCGAAGCUGCGGCAGCGACGCUGAUGCGUUGUUGGGUAGGGGAGCGUUCUGUAAGCCUGCGAAGGUGUGUCGUGAGGCAUGCUGGAGGUAUCAGAAGUGCGAAUGCUGACAUAAGUAACGAUAAAGCGGGUGAAAAGCCCGCUCGCCGGAAGACCAAGGGUUCCUGUCCAACGUUAAUCGGGGCAGGGUGAGUCGACCCCUAAGGCGAGGCCGAAAGGCGUAGUCGAUGGGAAACGGGUUAAUAUUCCCGUACUUGGUGUUACUGCGAAGGGGGGACGGAGAAGGCUAUGUUGGCCGGGCGACGGUUGUCCCGGUUUAAGCGUGUAGGUGUGUGUUCCAGGUAAAUCCGGUUCACUUUAACACUGAGGCGUGAUGACGAGGCACUACGGUGCUGAAGCAACAAAUGCCCUGCUUCCAGGAAAAGCCUCUAAGCAUCAGGUAACAUCAAAUCGUACCCCAAACCGACACAGGUGGUCAGGUAGAGAAUACCAAGGCGCUUGAGAGAACUCGGGUGAAGGAACUAGGCAAAAUGGUGCCGUAACUUCGGGAGAAGGCACGCUGACACGUAGGUGAAGUGAUUUACUCAUGGAGCUGAAGUCAGUCGAAGAUACCAGCUGGCUGCAACUGUUUAUUAAAAACACAGCACUGUGCAAACACGAAAGUGGACGUAUACGGUGUGACGCCUGCCCGGUGCCGGAAGGUUAAUUGAUGGGGUCAGCGCAAGCGAAGCUCCUGAUCGAAGCCCCGGUAAACGGCGGCCGUAACUAUAACGGUCCUAAGGUAGCGAAAUUCCUUGUCGGGUAAGUUCCGACCUGCACGAAUGGCGUAAUGAUGGCCAGGCUGUCUCCACCCGAGACUCAGUGAAAUUGAACUCGCUGUGAAGAUGCAGUGUACCCGCGGCAAGACGGAAAGACCCCGUGAACCUUUACUAUAGCUUGACACUGAACAUUGAGCCUUGAUGUGUAGGAUAGGUGGGAGGCUUUGAAGUGUGGACGCCAGUCUGCAUGGAGCCGGCCUUGAAAUACCACCCUUUAAUGUUUGAUGUUCUAACGUGGACCCGUGAUCCGGGUUGCGGACAGUGUCUGGUGGGUAGUUUGACUGGGGCGGUCUCCUCCUAAAGAGUAACGGAGGAGCACGAAGGUUGGCUAAUCCUGGUCGGACAUCAGGAGGUUAGUGCAAUGGCAUAAGCCAGCUUGACUGCGAGCGUGACGGCGCGAGCAGGUGCGAAAGCAGGUCAUAGUGAUCCGGUGGUUCUGAAUGGAAGGGCCAUCGCUCAACGGAUAAAAGGUACUCCGGGGAUAACAGGCUGAUACCGCCCAAGAGUUCAUAUCGACGGCGGUGUUUGGCACCUCGAUGUCGGCUCAUCACAUCCUGGGGCUGAAGUAGGUCCCAAGGGUAUGGCUGUUCGCCAUUUAAAGUGGUACGCGAGCUGGGUUUAGAACGUCGUGAGACAGUUCGGUCCCUAUCUGCCGUGGGCGCUGGAGAACUGAGGGGGGCUGCUCCUAGUACGAGAGGACCGGAGUGGACGCAUCACUGGUGUUCGGGUUGUCAUGCCAAUGGCACUGCCCGGUAGCUAAAUGCGGAAGAGAUAAGUGCUGAAAGCAUCUAAGCACGAAACUUGCCCCGAGAUGAGUUCUCCCUGAGACUUAGAGUCUCCUGAAGGAACGUUGAAGACGACGACGUUGAUAGGCCGGGUGUGUAAGCGCAGCGAUGCGUUGAGCUAACCGGUACUAAUGAACCGUGAGGCUUAACCUUACAACGCCGAAG